AGAGUUUGAUCCUGGCUCAGGAUUAACGCUAGCGGCAGGCCUAAUACAUGCAAGUCGCACGGGAUUCAGGGUAGCAAUAUCUUGAUGAGAGUGGCGCACGGGUGCGCAACACGUAUGCAACCUACCUCUUACUGGGGAAUAGCCCACCGAAAGGUGGAUUAAUACCGCAUAAUAUUAUUGAGUAGCAUUACUUGAUAAUUAAACCUACGGGGGUAAGAGAUGGGCAUGCGCCCGAUUAGCUAGUUGGCGGGGUAAUGGCCCACCAAGGCAACGAUCGGUAGGGGGUCUGAGAGGAUGAUCCCCCACACUGGUACUGAGACACGGACCAGACUCCUACGGGAGGCAGCAGUAAGGAAUAUUGGACAAUGGUCGCAAGACUGAUCCAGCCAUGCCGCGUGCAGGAUUAAGGCCCUAUGGGUCGUAAACUGCUUUUAUACGGGACAAAACCCCUCUACGUGUAGAGGGCUGAUGGUACUGUAAGAAUAAGGGUCGGCUAACUUCGUGCCAGCAGCCGCGGUAAUACGAAGGACCCGAGCGUUAUCCGGAUUUAUUGGGUUUAAAGGGUGCGUAGGCGGAUUUAUAAGUCAGUGGUGAAAGCCUGUAGCUUAACUAUAGAAUUGCCAUUGAUACUGUAAGUCUUGAGUAUAGUUGAGGUGGGCGGAAUGUGCAGUGUAGCGGUGAAAUGCUUAGAUAUUGCACAGAACACCAAUUGCGAAGGCAGCUCGCUAAACUAUAACUGACGCUGAGGCACGAAAGUGUGGGUAGCAAACAGGAUUAGAUACCCUGGUAGUCCACACCCUAAACGAUGAUAACUCGCUGUUGGCGAUACACAGUCAGCGGCUAAGCGAAAGCAUUAAGUUAUCCACCUGGGAAGUACGACCGCAAGGUUGAAACUCAAAGGAAUUGACGGGGGCCCGCACAAGCGGAGGAGCAUGUGGUUUAAUUCGAUGAUACGCGAGGAACCUUACCUGGGCUUGAAAGUUAGUGAAUGACGUAGAAACAUGUCAGCUCGAAAGAGCACGAAACUAGGUGCUGCAUGGCUGUCGUCAGCUCGUGCCGUGAGGUGUUGGGUUAAGUCCCGCAACGAGCGCAACCCCUAUCUUUAGUUGCCAACAGGUAAUGCUGGGGACUCUAAAGAGACUGCCCGCGCAAGCGGUGAGGAAGGUGGGGAUGACGUCAAGUCAUCACGGCCCUUACGUCCAGGGCUACACACGUGCUACAAUGGCCGAUACAACGGGCAGCCACGUGGUAACAUGGAGCUAAUCCCAAAAAAGUCGGUCUCAGUUCGGAUUGAGGUCUGCAACUCGACCUCAUGAAGCUGGAUUCGCUAGUAAUCGCGUAUCAGCAAUGACGCGGUGAAUACGUUCCCGGGCCUUGUACACACCGCCCGUCAAGCCAUGGAAGUUGGGAGUACCUGAAGUCGAUCACCGCAAGGAGUCGCCUAAGGUAAAAUCAAUGACUGGGGCUAAGUCGUAACAAGGUA
rnacentral:rRNA from 1 species